rnacentral:rRNA from 1 species
UUAAAGUCUAACCUGCCCACUGAAAAUUUUAAAUGGCCGCAGUAUUCUAACUGUGCAAAGGUAGCAUAAUCAUUAGUCUUUUAAUUGAAGGCUGGAAUGAAUGGUUGGACGAAAUAUUAACUGAUUCAUUUUAAUUUUUUAUAGAAUUUUAUUUUUUAGUCAAAAAGCUAAAAUAAAUUUAAAAGACGAGAAGACCCUAUAAAUCUUUAUAUUUUGUUUAUUUUAAUUUUAAAGAUUAUUUUAAUUUUAAUAAAUAAAAAUAUUUUAUUGGGGUGAUAUUAAAAUUUAAAAAACUUUUAAUUUUGAAUACCAUUAAUUUAUGAGUAAUUGAUCCAUUAAUAAUGAUUAAAAAUUUAAGUUACUUUAGGGAUAACAGCGUAAUUUUUUUGGAGAGUUCAUAUCGAUAAAAAAGAUUGCGACCUCGAUGUUGGAUUAAGAUAUAAUUUUGGGUGUAGCCGUUCAAAUUUUAAGUCUGUUCGACUUUUAAAUUCUUACAUGAUCUGAGUUCAAACCGGCGUAAGCCAGGUUGGUUUCUAUCUUUAAAAAAUUAAAAUAUUUUAGUACGAAAGGACCAAAUAUUUAAAUAAUUAUAUUUUAUAUAAGAAUAUUAUUAAUAUAA